AUUGAACGCUGGCGGCAGGCCUAACACAUGCAAGUCGAGCGGAUGAAGGGAGCUUGCUCCUGGAUUCAGCGGCGGACGGGUGAGUAAUGCCUAGGAAUCUGCCUGGUAGUGGGGGAUAACGUCCGGAAACGGGCGCUAAUACCGCAUACGUCCUGAGGGAGAAAGUGGGGGAUCUUCGGACCUCACGCUAUCAGAUGAGCCUAGGUCGGAUUAGCUAGUUGGUGGGGUAAAGGCCUACCAAGGCGACGAUCCGUAACUGGUCUGCGAGGAUGAUCAGUCACACUGGAACUGAGACACGGUCCAGACUCCUACGGGAGGCAGCAGUGGGGAAUAUUGGAAAAUGGGCGAAAGCCUGAUCCAGCCAUGCCGCGUGGGUGAAGAGGGUCUUCGGAUUGUAAAGCACUUUAAGUUGGGAGGAAGGGCAGUAAGUUAAUACCUUGCUGUUUGGACGUUACCAACAGAAUAAGCACCGGCUAACUUCGU
rnacentral:rRNA from 1 species